GGAUGCGAUCAUACCAGCACUAAAGCACCGGAUCCCAUCAGAACUCCGAAGUUAAGUGUGCUUGGGCGAGAGUAGUACUAGGAUGGGUGACCUCCUGGGAAGUCCUCGUGUUGCAUUCC
rnacentral:rRNA from 1 species